rnacentral:rRNA from 1 species
UACGUAGGGGGCGAGCGUUGUCCGGAUUUAUUGGGCGUAAAGAGCGUGUAGGCGGCCAGGUAGGUCUGCUGUGAAAACUCGAGGCUCAACCUCGAGACGUCGGCGGAAACCAUCUGGCUAGAGUCCUGAAGGGGAGAGUGGAAUUCCUGGUGUAGCGGUGAAAUGCGCAGAUAUCAGGAAGAACACCUAUGGCGAAGGCAGCUCUCUGGGACGGUACUGACGCUGAGACGCGAAAGCGUGGGGAGCGAACAGG